rnacentral:misc_RNA from 1 species
GCAAGAUCGAUAAAGUAGCAGGUGUUCUUGAAACUAACCGCCCUGAUUCAAAGAAUGCUCUGUACCAAGCUACCAUCAAGCAAGGAGACUUCUUACUGAACCGUAUCCAGAAGUUGUCUCGUGUAAUUGAUCUGUAACUAGGCUUUUAGUUUAUUUGAAAUUUGUUUGGAAAUGCAGGUUUCACCGCAAUAGAACAACAUUCGAGCCAAAAAAGCCACAUUGCACGGAUGAAAUUUGAUCAUUAGAACUUCGUGAAAAAUGAUGUUGUAAUUUUGUUUAAACAUGUUGACAACUUUUGCCUCACUGUUAUCA